AAUAAAAUAAUCAAAUGUUAAAUUGGGUAACUAUUAAAAAAAAAAUUGUUUUAAAUUUAUUGUUUGGCAGUUAUCUUAAAAAUACAUACAAAUUAUUACAAAAAUAAUUGGCUAGUUAGUAGUGUUUAUUGAAAAUAUAUUGAUUCAAUAUUAAUACAGUUUAUAACAUUUUUAGAAUAGUACACCUUAUAAUAUUAAAAAGUUUUAUUCAUAUUCCUUAUUUAGAAUGCAACUAAAAUGGAUAUCAAUUGAUACAGCUCAUAUAAUUAAUAAAACAUCAUAGAUUUAGGUUUGUCAACUGUUUGUUUUUUAAACAAUAAUUUACAGAAAUGCUUUUGUUUACCAAACAAAUACAUUCAACCAAGCAACAUUAAAUUUUGUUUGUGUUGUGUAAUUCAAAAUAUGGUAGGUAUAGAAAGUUGUGUUGUAUGUUUGCCUUUAAAACUGACAAUGUUAUUUUACAAUUCCUAAAUGAAAUUUUCUUAUUCAUGCUUAAUAUUGUAGAUAAUAAAAUUGUUAUUGAAUACAUUGGUAGCUGAUAGGUAGAUAAUUAAAUAUAUUUUAACUUUAAAGAAUAAUAUAUUAAACUAGUCUCCACACAGAAUCGUUUUUUGUUCACAAUGAUUUAUCAUUACAUUCAGUACCCUACAAGGAAUUUAAUCAAUUGAAUUACUCAAUAAUUUUGCCAGAUUUUCUUAACCCAAUGUAGCUGGUUUACAUGGUGUUAAAUAUUUUGUUGUAACAAAGAAUAAUUUACAAAAUAAUCAAUGACUAUUUUGAACAAAUUUAUAAAUAACUUAUGUACCACCUACUUACUGUAUACCCUUCUUAUAAUACAAAAAAUGUAGAAUAUUUUUAAAGAUGAAUACCCAUCAAACUAUACAAGUAAUAACAGGGUAUGUAACCAGAAACAAAAUUGAAACUAAGAGAAGGCAACAACUGAAGUGAUGUCAAUUAUAACAAUUGGUAGGUAGGAAGGUAAUUGCACUCAAGAACCGCAGGCUAUAUUAUUUGAUUUUAAAUAGACAACUGACAUUUUCUAUUCUCUAAAAUUUUUUUCUCAACAGCAGGUGAUUUAUUUAAAUAGGUACACUCAUUAUCUCAGAAAGUAUUAACUUUUUCUGGACUUUGUUUUCUAGAACAUUUAAGAAACAAGCUGCUCUACAAUUUAAUAUUAAUUUUAUUUCUAGUCACCCUUAUUUUUUUAGGUAAAACCACUACCUACUUUCGAUUUUAAAUGGCAACCUCUAUUAAAAUAUCCAUAAAUAGAUGGAGUAUUAGUUAAAAUAAAUUUGAGUAUUGAAAUUUUUUAUUUUUGUCAAGCCGUUGGCGAGAUAUUUUACUUUUAGGUAUAGGUUGGA